CCUGGCUCAGAUUGAACGCUGGCGGCAUGGUUAAAACAUGUAAGUCGAACGCGAAAGCACUUCGGUGCAAGUAGAGUGGCGAAAGGGCGAGGAAUAAGUACCUAACGUGCCUUCAGGUAAGGGAUAGCUCAUGGAAACGUGUGGUAAUACUUUAUAAUCUCACUGGUCCAUAUGGACUUUUGAGCAAAGGUUUACUGCCUCUGGAUCGGGAAACGUCCUAUCAGCUUGUUGGUGAGGUAAAGGCUCACCAAGGCUUAGACGGGUAGCGGGUGUGAGAGCACGGCCCGCCGCAUCGGGACUGAGACACUGCCCGGACUCCUACGGGAGGCUGCAGUAACCAAUAUUCCGCAACGCGCGAAAGCGUGACGGCGCAAUGCCGCGUGAAGGAUGAAGCACCUCGGUGUGUAAACUUCUGUCAGGGUUUAGGAAACAAAUGACAGUCAUAAAGGAAGGGCCGGCUAAUUCAGUGCCAGCAGCCGCGGUAAUACUGAAGGCCCAAGCGUUAAUCGGAAUCACUGGGCUUAAAGCUGCGUAGGCGGAUUUGUAAGUGCUUUGUGAAAGCCCUCGGCUCAACCGAGGAAUUGCUUGGUAGACUGCAAAUCUUGAGGUCGGCAGAGGUUGUCGGAACCAUAGGUGUAGCGGUGAAAUGCGUAGAUAUCUAUGGGAACGCCAAAGGAGAAAUCAGACAACUGGGCCGAAUCUGACGCUGAGGCACGAAAGCGUGGGUAGCGAAGAGGAUUAGAUACCCUCGUAGUCCACGCCCUAAACGAUGUGCACUAGGUGCUGGGAGCUCUGACGCUCUCGGUGCCGACGUAAAAACAAUAAGUGCACCGCCUGGGGAGUACGGUCGCAAGAUUAAAACUCAAAGGAAUUGACGGGGGCUCACACAAGCGGUGGAGCAUGUGGCUUAAUUCGAGGCAACGCGAAGAACCUUAUCCUGGGCUUGACAUGUAUGAAUUAGCUUCCAGAAACGGAAGUGACGCCCUCUCAGUGGAACGUACACAGGUGCUGCAUGGCUGUCGUCAGCUCGUGCUGUGAAGUGUCGGGUUAAGUCCCUUAACGAGCGAAACCCUUGCCGCUAGUUGCCAGCGAGUUAUGUCGGGGACUCUAGCGGGACUGCCGGUGUCAAACCGGAGGAAGGUGGGGAUGACGUCAAGUCCUCAUGGCCUUUAUGCCCUGGGCUGCACACGUGCUACAAUGGCGCGGACAGAGCGACGCAAUACCGUAAGGUGGAGCAAAUCGCACAAACCGCGCCCCAGUUCGGAUUGUGGUCUGCAACUCGACCACAUGAAGUUGGAAUCGCUAGUAAUCGCGUAUCAGCUACGACGCGGUGAAUACGUUCCUGAGCCUUGUACACACCGCCCGUCACGUCAUGGGAGCCGGGAGCACCCGAAGUGGUCACGUUUCAGUGAUCCCUACGGUGAGCUCGGUAACUGGGACGAAGUCGUAACA
rnacentral:rRNA from 1 species